GUGGGGAAUCUUGGGCAAUGGGCGAAAGCCUGACCCAGCAACGCCGCGUGGGUGAUGAAGGCCUUCGGGUCGUAAAGCCCUGUCGGAAGGAAAGAAUUCUCCUAGGGCGAAUAAUCCUAGGAAUUGACGGUACCUUCAAAGGAAGCACCGGCUAACUCCGUGCCAGCAGCCGCGGUAAGACGGAGGGUGCUAGCGUUGUUCGGAAUUAUUGGGCGUAAAGGGCGUGUAGGCGGACCGUUAAGUCAUGCGUGAAAGCCCUCGGCUUAACCGAGGAAGGGCGUAUGAUACUGGCGGCCUAGAGUUCGGAAGAGGGGGGUGGAAUUCCAGGUGUAGCGGUGAAAUGCGUAGAUAUCUGGAGGAACACCGGUGGCGAAGGCGACCCCCUGGUCCGACACUGACGCUGAGACGCGAAAGCGUGGGUAGCAAACAGG
rnacentral:rRNA from 1 species